rnacentral:piRNA from 1 species
UAACAGACUAUAACAUAUGAGUACAGAGGG